UUUUUUAUGCAUUCAUUCCGCGUGGUUACUGUGUUAAAACUGAAACAACUCAAAGGGUUAAGUUUAGGUAUUAAUUCUGAGUGGUUAAGGUUAGGGCUAUGGUUUGGGGAAGCCUUAAAACCAAAAUAAUUAAAACUACUCGCUGUUUCCAUCAACUGUCAUCGUGUAUUCUCACCGCUUACCAGAGCAUUGUGAACUUUGAUGGUCUAAGCAGCGCACUCCGGCCUGGGUGUGUUAUUAAGGAAAACCGAAAGUGUAAAGGGACAAAAGUGGGCACCUGAUUGAGCUUCAGGAGAAAACAGCCCGACUCAUUUGGAGGUUGAAGGACAUCCCGCCCUGACACCCUGCAGAUGAAAAUAACUUGUUGUGAACCUCCCAGCCACCAGGAUAAUCACCAUAUUCCAGGAUAUUAUUCAAAAGUGUGCAACUUCACAAUGUUAGAUAAAAAUAGAUUCACUGAUGUUAUUGUUUAUCAAAUCAAACCAAGCUUUAUUUAUCCAGCACAUUUCAGACAUGAAAUGCAACGCAAUGUGCUUUACAGGAAAAAACAAA